GGCAUCUCACCCCAGAGCUUGCUAUAUAGCAAGAGACAUGCAAAUACAGUCCUACCUCUGCUGAUAAAAACCAGCCCGGCCCUGACCCUGCAGCUCUGGGAGAGCAGCCCCGGCCCUGGGAUUCCCAGGAGUUUCCAUUUGGUGAUCAGCACUGAACACAGACCACCAACCAUGGAGUCUGUGCUGAGCUGGGUUUUCCUUGUUACAGUUUUGAAAGGUGUCCAGUGUGAGGUGCAGCUGGUGGAGUCUGGGGGAGGCUUGGUCCAGCCUGGGGGGUCCCUGAGACUCUCCUGUGCGGCCUCUGGAUUCACCUUCAGUAGCUAUAGCAUGGAUUGGGUCCGCCAGGCUCCGGGGAAGGGGCUGGAGUGGGUCUCAUACAUUAGUAGUACUGGUGGUAGCACAAGCUACGCAGACUCCGUGAAGGGCCGAUUCACCAUCUCCAGAGACAACGCCAAGAACUCGCUCUAUCUGCAGAUGAACAGCCUGAAAGCCGAGGACACAGCCGUGUAUUACUGUACGAAAGGCACAGUGAGGGGAAGUCAGUGUGAGCCCGGACACAAACCUCCUUCAAUGGCGCCUGGAACCAGCAGGAGACGCUCAGGAUACACAGAGGACAGGGGCCGCCCAGCGCAGGUGCAGGUGGAGGUCAAGGGCUGCUCUCCUCCAGGGCCUGUGGCUUCCUCUGCAUGUAACGUUCCCCGGGGAGGGUCUGUGUAUUUACAGUUAUGUCCCUACUACUGA